rnacentral:misc_RNA from 1 species
AACGCAUAUUGCGCCCGCCGGUAUUCCGGCGGGCAUGCCCGUUCGAGCGUCAUUUCAAACCUCAAGCGCCUUGCUUGGUGUUGGGGCUCCCGCGGCCGCCGCGGUCCCCUAAAACUAGUGGCGAGCUCGCCGUGAACCCGAGCGCAGUAGUACCUCUCGCGCGGGACGAUCGGUGGAUUCGGCCGUUAACCCCCCGCCGCCUGGCGGACUUUUAGUGGUUUGACCUCGGAUCGGGUAGGAAUACCCGCUGAACUUAA